AGUGAACGCUGGCGGCAGGCCUAAUACAUGCAAGUCGAACGGCAGCACAGCAGAGCUUGCUCUGUGGGUGGCGAGUGGCGGACGGGUGAGGAAUACGUGGGAAUCUGCCCAGUCGUGGGGGAUAACGUAGGGAAACUUACGCUAAUACCGCAUGCGCCCUUCGGGGGAAAGCCGGGGACCUUCGGGCCUGGCGCGAUUGGAUGAGCCCACGUCGGAUUAGCUAGUUGGCGGGUAAAGGCCCACCAAGGCGACGAUCCGUAGCUGGUCUGAGAGGAUGAUCAGCCACACUGGAACUGAGACACGGUCCAGACUCCUACGGGAGGCAGCAGUAGGGAAUAUUGGACAAUGGGCGCAAGCCUGAUCCAGCCAUGCCGCGUGAGUGAAGAAGGCCCUCGGGUUGUAAAGCUCUUUUGUCCGGAAGAAAAGCGCCGGGUUAAUACCCUGGUGUCCUGACGGUACCGGAAGAAUAAGCACCGGCUAACUUCGUGCCAGCAGCCGCGGUAAU
rnacentral:rRNA from 1 species